rnacentral:lncRNA from 1 species
GCAGAGAAGAAAAAUAAAAAGAAAGAGAAGGGAGAAAAGAGAGAAGGGCGGAAGGAGAGGGGGGAAAAGGGAGCUCUGGCCAUGGGGGCCGGUCACCGGACGGCCACCGGAGGCUCGCCGGCGCCGGCGCCGGCCACCGCACGCGGUGGCCGGAAAAGGUAAAAAAAUUUAUUUUUUUUUUUAUUUUUUUUUAUUGUAUUUUUUAUAUCAUACUUUCAUACAUUUAACGUAUUUAAUGUAUGUAUUUGUGAGAAAAUAAACAAAAAUGAAAAUAAAUCUAGAACCACCUCUUAUUUUCGAUUUGCAAUCUUGGUGUUUUGUGCGCCGAUUUGGUGGUUGUUUUUUUUUGUGUUGAUAUCUAUUUCGGACUGGUAUUCUUGCUAUAUCUACUGACUUUUUUGAAAUAUAUGUGUAUUCAAAAGAUCUAAAAAUCAAGCCCCCUUUACAGAAAGCCAAAUAGGCUUUUAUAGCCUUUACAAAAUUGUAUUUAAUGUUUAUUGUCUUGUCUUCUUUCUGGUCCUGCAGGGAAUGGGUGAAGGUGACAGAGGCAUGGUGGUACAGAGGAGCAGGUGGCCGACAUGGUGGCAUGGAGAGCUGGGGUGCCAGGGUAUGGGGCUGCUGGCUGGUGUCAGAACAAGUGGAAUUAGGGUUUCUUCUCUGCUGAUUUGUUUUGGGCUGCUGGGCUAGGUUAAUUUAGGGUAUUGGGCUAGUAGUACUUGGGUUAGGCUAAUUGGGCUGGUGGUAUUUUGGGUUUGACGGGCUUUAGUGUGAAUGGGUCAUGUUGGGUUUGUGGGUUGUUUGGUUUAGGGCCCAAAAUUGGCCUGUACAACCUAUAUCCUUUAGAGCAAACUUAUUGUGUAGCUGCUGAACAAAACAAUUUAUUUCAUCAGAUGAAUUGCCAGUGAUAACAAUGUCAUCCACAUACACAAGAACAUAGAGAGUGUAGCCAGAGGAAGAUUGAACAAAUAAUGAAGCAUCUAAUUUUGACAAAGUAAAACCAGUAGAAACAAGAAACUGUUUUAACUUGUCAAACCAGGCACGAGGAGCUUGUCGUAAUCAAUAUAAAGCUUUAGUCAGACGACACACCAGUUUUUCACCAUUUGGACCAUGUUGCACUUAAUUGGGAGGUUGCUGCAUAAACACGUCAUCAGUUAGAUCUCCAUUCAAAAGGCAUUAUUGAUGUCAACUUGCCGGAGGUGCCAACUCCUGGUCACAGCAAUAGAGAGGAUGACUCGAAUGGUAGUAGGUUUACUACUGGACUGAACGUCUCCUUAAAAUCACAGCCAGGUACCUAUGAGCAGCCUUUGGCUACCAACCAUGCCUUCUAUUAGUUAAUCGUCCCAUCAGGAUUCUUCUUUAUCUUAAACAACCAUUUGCAACCAAUCACUUUCCAACCAGGAGGAAGGAGACUAAGCUCCCAUGUAGAGUUAGCUAUUAAAGCAUCUAAUUUAGCUUCGACAGCGAGACGCUAGUCUGGAUGAGCAAAGGCCUCCUCAACAGAACUUGGCUCAACCUCAACUUUGUCAGCAUACAAAGCUUUGGGCUUAAAUAUCCCAGCUUUAGACCUAGUAACCAUAGCAUGAGUAUUAGUAGUAGAGACGGAAGGAACAGUAACUCGCUCAGUAGGAAUAGUUGUAGUAGAGGGAACCUCCUCUCAUACAACAAACCCCAAUUCAUUCAACAAAUUUACAAGACCAUGUUGAUAAGCACUACACGUAGAAGACGAAUCAUACUGAUUUGU